AGCAGGGCUGAACGGUUGGUGUGGGACAGCCAGCCCUACCUGCUGAGCCCUCAGGCCCCCAUUCGAGAGGCGGCCCUCAGGCUCGUUGGGCUGGCUGCGCGGCACCUGAGAGAGCAGAGUGAGGACACCCUGGCUGAGAUCCUCUUGGAGCUUCAAAUACUUCAAGCAAGAGAGAAGGAUGCCUCCAUUUGUUGCCUGGCAGCUCAGACCAGCUUUAACCUGAAAUCUCCAAGGAAGCAGCAAAGAUCAGGAUUCUGCCUGCACACACUGU